UACGAAGGGGGCUAGCGUUGUUCGGAAUUACUGGGCGUAAAGGGCGCGUAGGCGGCUGUGCAAGUCAGGUGUGAAAGCCCUGGGCUCAACCCCAGGAUGUGCAUUUGAUACUGCGCGGCUAGAGUGUCGGAGAGGAUGGUGGAAUUCCCAGUGUAGAGGUGAAAUUCGUAGAUAUUGGGAAGAACACCGGUGGCGAAGGCGGCGCUCUGGACCGAGACUGACGCUGAGGCGCGAAAGCGUGGGGAGCAAACAGG
rnacentral:rRNA from 1 species